ACAGUCAGGCCUAAUUGGCAGAUCAUUAGGCAGUUGAGAGUCAAUUGUCAAACGAAAGGGACGUUCAUUUCGUAAGUGAAUUCAGACAGGUAUUAUUAUUUUUCAUGGAUGUGAAAGUUUGCAACAUGGUGGACAAAGAAGGCAGUAGAGCAAAAGUGAUACGAUAGGAGAUUAAGAAUGAAGAGUCAGUGUGGGGGCAUGUGGGGGCAGAGAGCAUCAACGGUAGAUAAGGACGACUGGUGGUGGACAAAGCGUGAAGCAUUUCACGCUCUUUGAAGACAGCACAAAAGCUGAGGCUUAGUAUCCCACCCGAAUUGGACGAGUGGCUUUGAUGGCUUAAGAAAAAAUGAAAGUAAAAAAAAGAAAAACUUCAAACAGUUGAGUAGAUGGGAGGAGCAUACAGAACUAUAUUACGCGAAGCUUCUUAUAUAGCAGAUUGACAUUGGCCUUAUGUAAAAUACGUCGGCGAUGCAGUGCCAACUGCCAAGUCGCUUAUCGAAAAGAGCGUUUUGCCAUCUGCGUUACUUCUUGUAUAGAACCAACGCUUUGAACAUCUUCCAAGCUCCUGGUUUCUUCUAUAACGAGAAGAGAGCGAGGCCAUGCAGAUUUGUUUCUGCCAUAAGGCCGGUGGACCUGGGCGCGGUCGAAGGGCUUUCGCAGGGGACUUUGAUGUACAGUAGUCCUAUGUCUAAGCAUGUUUGUCCUACGUACUACCUCUGAUGUGUUCUAUACAUGUCGCUAUCCUUUGAGUCUUCAAACAAUAAUAGUCCAGUCAAAUACGAAGCUCGUCUAACGAUCUGAUCCUAUUCGUCACU